rnacentral:rRNA from 1 species
UACGGAGGGAGCUAGCGUUAUUCGGAAUUACUGGGCGUAAAGCGUACGUAGGCGGCUUUGCAAGUUAGAGGUGAAAGCCUGGAGCUCAACUCCAGAACUGCCUUUAAAACUGCAUCGCUUGAAUCCAGGAGAGGUGAGUGGAAUUCCGAGUGUAGAGGUGAAAUUCGUAGAUAUUCGGAAGAACACCAGUGGCGAAGGCGGCUCACUGGACUGGUAUUGACGCUGAGGUACGAAAGCGUGGGGAGCAAACAGGA